CACGUAGGGUGCGAGCGUUGUCCGGAAUUACUGGGCGUAAAGGGCGCGUAGGCGGCCUUCUAAGUCGAACGUGAAAUCCCCGGGCUCAACCCGGGAACUGCGUCCGAUACUGGAAGGCUUGAAUCCGGGAGAGGGAUGUGGAAUUCCAGGUGUAGCGGUGAAAUGCGUAGAUAUCUGGAGGAACACCGGUGGCGAAGGCGACAUCCUGGACCGGUAUUGACGCUGAGGCGCGAAAGCCAGGGGAGCAAACGGG
rnacentral:rRNA from 1 species